rnacentral:rRNA from 1 species
GAACCACCAAAUUGCGAAGGCAGGUUACUAAGCAACAACUGNCGCUGAUGGACGAAAAGCGUGGGGAGCGAACAGGAUUAGAUACCCUGGUAGUCCACGCCGUAAACGAUGCUAACUCGUUUUUGGGCUUUUGGGUUCAGAGACUAAGCGAAAGUGAUAAGUUAGCCACCUGGGGAGUACGAACGCAAGUUUGAAACUCAAAGGAAUUGACGGGGGCCCGCACAAGCGGUGGAUUAUGUGGUUUAAUUCGAUGAUACGCGAGGAACCUUACCAAGGCUUAAAUGGGAAAUGACAGGCUUAGAAAUAGGCUUUUCUUCGGACAUUUUUCAAGGUGCUGCAUGGUUGUCGUCAGCUCGUGCCGUGAGGUGUUAGGUUAAGUCCUGCAACGAGCGCAACCCCUGUCACUAGUUGCCAUCAUUAAGUUGGGGACUCUAGUGAGACUGCCUACGCAAGUAGAGAGGAAGGUGGGGAUGACGUCAAAUCAUCACGGCCCUUACGCCUUGGGCCACACACGUAAUACAAUGGCCGGUACAGAGGGCAGCUACACUGCGAAGUGAUGCAAAUCUCGAAAGCCGGUCUCAGUUCGGAUUGGAGUCUGCAACUCGACUCUAUGAAGCUGGAAUCGCUAGUAAUCGCGCAUCAGCCAUGGCGCGGUGAAUACGUUCCCGGGCCUUGUACACACCGCCCGUCAAGCCAUGGAAGUCUGGGGUACCUGAAGUCGGUGACCGUAACAGGAGCUGCCUAGGAAACAGCUCGUU